GCCCGAUUAGCUCAGCUGGUUAGAGCGUCGUACUAAUAGAGUAUCACUCUAUCAAGUCAUGCGAAGGUCAACAGUUCAAUCCUGUUAUUGGGCA
rnacentral:tRNA from 1 species